rnacentral:sRNA from 1 species
UGCUAUUUAUUUAUUAAACCUGCAAACAUUUUGAGCAUGUUCUGUGAUAUGAGAAGUCAGCAGGCAAUUGGGAAAGAACAAUGAAUUAAACAUAUUUCUCGUCCUCAAGAAAGUGACAUUCUAGGGACCAGGUUCCAACUAGGCUACCAAGGAGGUUGAUUCUUACAACAGAAUGUGUAUUUUGAUACACCAAAGGGAACCCUGAGGGGGAUAGAAGAACACAAAGAGAAUAUGAUGAAUGUAUCAGCUAAGGGGCUUUUCAUAGUACUUCCUUCAGCCUCAUCCAGUCUUCACCGAUAACAUGACGGAUUCUGUCUCCAACUUUGUGAUAUCACACAGUGGAAGGCCACCAUAUUGCUUGGGAAGAAGUGUUAUGAAGACAUGUGACCUUUAGGACACGUUGAAGACAGGCUGCUGCUGCAGACUGAGGAAACUGCAGAGACUGUAGAAAACUGCCCAGUCUGGCUGUAAAAUGCUGACUUUCUCCUACUCCAGCCAUCCACUCUUCUUUGGAUGAUUGUAUUUGCUGUGUAUAUGUGUGUAGAGCACGUCACGCCCUCCUCCCUCAGUGUUUAUUUAAAUAGACUUCAGGCAGAUGGCACAAAAAAAGUUUUGUUCUAAAAAGAUUCAUACAUUAAAACAAUAUACUGACAGUUGGGAGUAAAGUGUUUUGACUUAAGGGUAGAUUUAUUCUAAUUGUACAGAAACAUUGUUCUAGUCAGCGACAGACCGUCCAUCUAAACUGUCUUCUAUUUAGAUAAUAGACUGCCUUCCUUACAGGAUAGUGGCAUUAUGAGGCCGAAGUUGUUGUUUUUUGUGUAGUGUAUAUCUUUCUGAGCUUUAUUGACCCCUCCAUCCUUUCUGAAUUGCUUGCAAGGACAUAGAAAACAAGAGCUAAAUAAAACUUUGUUACAGGGGCAUUUGAACUUGAUGGGAGUGGGUCUGGGAAUCAAAGUUUGGUCUGGAAUUUAAGUUUGUAGGUAUUAGAAAAAAAUUAUACAUUAAGACAUUUUAAAGGAUUGUCGGUUUUUACUGUAUGUAUUUUAUGUAUGAGUGUAUUUCUUGUAUCCUCAGGGGCCUGAGGAGUAUAUAACAUCCCUAGAAAUGGCAGUUUCAAAGGGCCCUGAGCUGACACGUGGAUAGUAGAAAUUGAACCCAGGCCUUCUGAAAGAAAAACCAGUGCCCUUCAGCAGCACAGCUGCUCUCCAGGCCUAGGAUGUUAUUCUUACUGCUAAUA